rnacentral:rRNA from 1 species
UGCGUAGGCGGACAGGUAAGUCAGUGGUGAAAUCUCUGGGCUUAACUCAGAAACUGCCGUUGAUACUAUUUGUCUUGAAUAUCAUGGAGGUAAGCGGAAUAUGUCAUGUAGCGGUGAAAUGCUUAGAUAUGACAUAGAACACCGAUAGCGAAGGCAGCUUACUACAUGAAGAUUGACGCUGAGGCACGAAAGCGUGGGGAGCAAACAGGAUUAGAUACCCUGGUAGUCCACGCCCUAAACUAUGGAUACUCGACAUCAGCGAUACACUGUUGGUGUCUGAGCGAAAGCAUUAAGUAUCCCACCUGGGAAGUACGACCGCAAGGUUGAA